rnacentral:rRNA from 1 species
GACGAACGCUGGCGGCGUGCCUAAUACAUGCAAGUAGAACGCAGCUGCGAACGGGUGAGUAACGCGUAGGUAACUGCCUCAAAGCGGGGGACAACUAUCGGAAACGAGAGCUAAUACCGCAUACUGUGAGAUGGACCUUCGGUGGAUUAGCCAGUUGGUGGGGUAAAGGCUCACCAAGGCGACGAUACAUAGCCGACCUGCGGGGGUGAUCGGCCACACCGGUACUGAGACACGGCCCAGACUCCUACGGGAGGCAGCAGUAGGGAGUCUUCGGCAAUGGACGGAAGUCUGACCGCGCAACGCCGCGGGAUUGGUGAAGGUUUUCGGAUCGUAGAGCUCUUUUGUUAGAGGAGCGGUAUCUAACCAGAAAGGGACGGCUAACUACGUGCCAGCCGCCGCGGUAAUAC